UUACGGGGUGCAGCAGGCGCGAAACCUGCGCAAUGUGAGAAAUCGCGACGGGGGGAUCCCAAGUCCUAUUCUUAACGGGAUGGCUUUUCCUUAGUUAAAGAGCUUUGAUAGACGUGAGCUGGGCA
rnacentral:rRNA from 1 species